AUGAAUCAAAGAAGGUAAUAAUCCUGUAGUCGAAAAUGUUGUCUCUCUUGAGUGGAUCCUGAGUACGACGGAGCACGUGAAAUUCCGUCGGAAUCUGGGAGGACCAUCUCCUAAGGCUAAAUACUCUCUAGUGACCGAUAGUGAACCAGUACCGUGAGGGAAAGGUGAAAAGCACCCCGGAAGGGGAGUGAAACAGAACCUGAAACCGUGUGCUUACAAGUAGUCAGAGCCCGUUAAUGGGUGAUGGCGUGCCUUUUGUAGAAUGAACCGGCGAGUUACGAUUUGAUGCAAGGUUAAGCAGUAAAUGUGGAGCCAUAGCGAAAGCGAGUCUGAAUAGGGCGUUUAGUAUUUGGUCGUAGACCCGAAACCAGGUGAUCUACCCUUGGUCAGGUUGAAGUUCAGGUAACACUGAAUGGAGGACCGAACCGACUUACGUUGAAAAGUGAGCGGAUGAACUGAGGGUAGCGGAGAAAUUCCAAUCGAACCUGGAGAUAGCUGGUUCUCUCCGAAAUAGCUUUAGGGCUAGCCUCAAGUGAUGAUUAUUGGAGGUAGAGCACUGUUUGGACGAGGGGCCCCUCUCGGGUUACCGAAUUCAGACAAACUCCGAAUGCCAAUUAAUUUAACUUGGGAGUCAGAACAUGGGUGAUAAGGUCCGUGUUCGAAAGGGAAACAGCCCAGACCACCAGCUAAGGUCCCAAAAUAUAUGUUAAGUGGAAAAGGAUGUGGCGUUGCCCAGACAACUAGGAUGUUGGCUUAGAAGCAGCCAUCAUUUAAAGAGUGCGUAAUAGCUCACUAGUCGAGUGACACUGCGCCGAAAAUGUACCGGGGCUAAACAUAUUACCGAAGCUGUGGAUUGUCCUUUGGACAAUGGUAGGAGAGCGUUCUAAGGGCGUUGAAGCAUGAUCGUAAGGACAUGUGGAGCGCUUAGAAGUGAGAAUGCCGGUGUGAGUAGCGAAAGACGGGUGAGAAUCCCGUCCACCGAUUGACUAAGGUUUCCAGAGGAAGGCUCGUCCGCUCUGGGUUAGUCGGGUCCUAAGCUGAGGCCGACAGGCGUAGGCGAUGGAUAACAGGUUGAUAUUCCUGUACCACCUAUAAUCGUUUUAAUCGAUGGGGGGACGCAGUAGGAUAGGCGAAGCGUGCGAUUGGAUUGCACGUCUAAGCAGUAAGGCUGAGUAUUAGGCAAAUCCGGUACUCAUUAAGGCUGAGCUGUGAUGGGGAGAAGACAUUGUGUCUUCGAGUCGUUGAUUUCACACUGCCGAGAAAAGCCUCUAGAUAGAAAAUAGGUGCCCGUACCGCAAACCGACACAGGUAGUCAAGAUGAGAAUUCUAAGGUGAGCGAGCGAACUCUCGUUAAGGAACUCGGCAAAAUGACCCCGUAACUUCGGGAGAAGGGGUGCUCUUUAGGGUUAACGCCCAGAAGAGCCGCAGUGAAUAGGCCCAAGCGACUGUUUAUCAAAAACACAGGUCUCUGCUAAACCGUAAGGUGAUGUAUAGGGGCUGACGCCUGCCCGGUGCUGGAAGGUUAAGAGGAGUGGUUAGCUUCUGCGAAGCUACGAAUCGAAGCCCCAGUAAACGGCGGCCGUAACUAUAACGGUCCUAAGGUAGCGAAAUUCCUUGUCGGGUAAGUUCCGACCCGCACGAAAGGCGUAACGAUUUGGGCACUGUCUCAACGAGAGACUCGGUGAAAUCAUAGUACCUGUGAAGAUGCAGGUUACCCGCGACAGGACGGAAAGACCCCGUGGAGCUUUACUGUAGCCUGAUAUUGAAAUUCGGCACAGCUUGUACAGGAUAGGUAGGAGCCUUUGAAACGUGAGCGCUAGCUUACGUGGAGGCGCUGGUGGGAUACUACCCUAGCUGUGUUGGCUUUCUAACCCGCACCACUUAUCGUGGUGGGAGACAGUGUCAGGCGGGCAGUUUGACUGGGGCGGUCGCCUCCUAAAAGGUAACGGAGGCGCUCAAAGGUUCCCUCAGAAUGGUUGGAAAUCAUUCAUAGAGUGUAAAGGCAUAAGGGAGCUUGACUGCGAGACCUACAAGUCGAGCAGGGUCGAAAGACGGACUUAGUGAUCCGGUGGUUCCGCAUGGAAGGGCCAUCGCUCAACGGAUAAAAGCUACCCCGGGGAUAACAGGCUUAUCUCCCCCAAGAGUUCACAUCGACGGGGAGGUUUGGCACCUCGAUGUCGGCUCAUCGCAUCCUGGGGCUGUAGUCGGUCCCAAGGGUUGGGCUGUUCGCCCAUUAAAGCGGUACGCGAGCUGGGUUCAGAACGUCGUGAGACAGUUCGGUCCCUAUCCGUCGUGGGCGUAGGAAAUUUGAGAGGAGCUGUCCUUAGUACGAGAGGACCGGGAUGGACAUACCUCUGGUGUACCAGUUGUCGUGCCAACGGCAUAGCUGGGUAGCUAUGUGUGGACGGGAUAAGUGCUGAAAGCAUCUAAGCAUGAAGCCCCCCUCAAGAUGAGAUUUCCCAACUUCGGUUAUAAGAUCCCUCAAAGAUGAUGAGGUUAAUAGGUUCGAGGUGGAAGCAUGGUGACAUGUGGAGCUGACGAAUACUAAUCGAUCGAAGACUUAAUCAA
rnacentral:rRNA from 1 species